AGCCAUGCAGUGAGCACAUAGCGAACUAUUCUUUCGCCUUUUACUAAAGAAUACCGUGUGCGCGCUACAAUUAGUUGCAUACGCCAAUUUUUUGAGUGAUUCUCUUCUUUAGAGGAC
rnacentral:snRNA from 2 species